rnacentral:rRNA from 1 species
GAUGAACGCUGGCGGCGUGCCUAAUACAUGCAAGUCGAGCGAACGGACGAGAAGCUUGCUUCUCUGAUGUUAGCGGCGGACGGGUGAGUAACACGUGGAUAACCUACCUAUAAGACUGGGAUAACUUCGGGAAACCGGGGCUAAUACCGGAUAAUAUUUUGAACCGCAUGGUUCAAAAGUGAAAGACGGUCUUGCUGUCACUUAUAGAUGGAUCCGCGCUGCAUUAGCUAGUUGGUAAGGUAACGGCUUACCAAGGCAACGAUGCAUAGCCGACCUGAGAGGGUGAUUGGCCACACUGGAACUGAGACACGGUCCAGACUCCUACGGGAGGCAGCAGUAGGGAAUCUUCCGCAAUGGGCGAAAGCCUGACGGAGCAACGCCGCGUGAGUGAUGAAGGUCUUCGGAUCGUAAAACUCUGUUAUUAGGGAAGAACAUAUGUGUAAGUAACUGUGCACAUCUUGACGGUACCUAAUCAGAAAGCCACGGCUAACUACGUG